GGCCGCCGUCUGGGCUGCCAUCCCUGCCGUGCGCUCGCCAGUCGCCGUACUUGCCCGAGCCGUAGCAGCCGUCGUCCCCACCCCUCGCCCAUCGUCGCAGCCGCCGUCCCCUCUCCCGCCGCCCACGAGCUCAAACAGGAGCGUCCCCGUGGUACUCGUUCUCUUCCCUUCCAUCCCCAUCUGCUGCUCCCUUCCCUUCCUACCCCCUCUCGGCAUUGGUCCUUCCCAGGCUCUCUUCCAACCCAGUGGGUAGGCCAUGUCCCUUUUCUGGAUCCACCCCUGCUCUGCGACACUGAAUGAUUUGUUGUUGGGUUGGCGUCAUAUAGGCAGGGUCAGCGAGUUACUGAGACUAGCACGAGGGUCUUGGUUGGUCUGUCUGAAAAUCAGGUCUAGUUUCAUGCUUCUUGUGCAACUAAGAUUGGAAACUAGAAAUGAAAACGGAUUCGUGUUGUCUUCUGUAUUAAUCUGUUCUGUUGUUUUAUUGAUUCUGUAGGUUGCUGCCAUAGGUGUAUAGGAACAUCUCAUCCUCAUGUAUUGCACUGGGAUAGCUCAAUUAUACUACCCUAGGAGAUCAUAUUGUUUGUAAUGCAGGUAUUGCUUCUGUGGGAGUAGAUCAGAUUGUUUGUAAUGCAGGUAUUGCUGCAGUGGGCACGUCCUCAGAGCUGGUUGAUUGGGCCUUUAGGUGUCAGGGCAACCAUCUUUUAUCACUAGUCUUCCCUGCUGCCACUGCAUACGACAUACUUUGUUGGAUUAUAUAAUGGCUAGGUUCCAGCAUUGUUUUGAUUCCAGUAGUUUCUGUAGGCUGUUUUUU
rnacentral:lncRNA from 1 species